rnacentral:ribozyme from 1 species
UUUUUUUUUUUUUUUUUUUUUUUUUUUUCCAUGCUC